rnacentral:lncRNA from 13 species
CCGACGUACGCGAAUCCUGUGCAGAGGAGACUCUUUAGCAUGUCUCGCGUUUGCGUCAACCCCUGGCUACGUGCAAUCGAAAAGUAGCGCUACUUCAGAGACUUACCAAAGACCAACGAUCCGUAACAGUGUAAUGCAGCCAAAGAUAUACAAGAGUCAUGAAUUAUUAUUCAGGAGAGAGAUACAGAACAAAGAGCGCAGGCGAUGUAAAAAGGAAAAAAAAAAACAAAAGAGAAUAAAAGACGAGAGGAGAAACUGAAUUUUGAGCGAUUGCUUUCUUCCGUAUUUUCUCUCGCUCACGGGAGCGAGAUGCUUGCUAUCACUCGAAAGACGCGAGACGCUCGGUGUAUAAAAGACCAUGAAACAAUAGUAUGUACAUAAAAUGCGGAAAUAAGUAAUGCGGUAAUAGUCUUGUAGAUACAGUGGCGGAUUACAACGGAAUUGCCAUUACGAUUCAUUACAUUUCGCAUACGUUUUUUGUCAGCGGUACCAUUGCGUGGACCUUCGAAUCGCGGUGCGCCGAUUAAUUUAUAAAUCGUCAAAAAAUCGUCUCGAUCCGCCACUGUAUGACCUCCUAGCGUAUAUGCGACAGGUAGAUAAAAACACAUAUAGAAUAGAUUUAAGCAACUGUGCGAGGGAACAGCAGAGUUCGAAAGAGGCAAUUGUUUAACGCAUUCUGCUGAAUUGCAAUCUGUAUAAUGCGCUUGUGACGCGGAAAAUCAUUAUUGUACGUAAGAAGAGCAUGAGGCAUUAGAAGUGAAGUAAUAAUAUUCAGCUGACACACAAGUAGAGUAUGUAACGGGGAGCGCGCGACUUGGGCAACUUCUACGAUUGUCUUUCAAGUGUCUCGAAAAAUUGAAAACAGUAAAUGGAACUCUGAACGUUUCUAUUCUCUGAUCUCUCUCUCUCUCUCACUCUCUCUCUUUCUCUCUCGGAAAAAAAAUUACCAGAUUUCCUUCAAUUAAUUUAUCUAACUUUAAUUCUCGCGUAGCUUUAAUUCUCGCGCUGAACGAAUCGAAAUCUGGAAGGUUGAAACUUUGUAAGGCAGUGCGUAAACUUAAGUGCAAGACCUAAAGUUCAGAAAGCUAAAAAGAAACAAUAGUUUUCAUCUUCUUGGUU